GGAGGAGUACAGCUCAGUGGUAGAGCGUGUGCUCAGCAUGCAUGAUGUUUUGGGUUCAGUUCCCAGUACCACCA
rnacentral:tRNA from 1 species